rnacentral:sRNA from 1 species
UAACACUGCUGUACAGCGGCUAUGUUUGC